UGACGGUACCUGCAGAAGAAGCGCCGGCUAACUACGUGCCAGCAGCCGCGGUAAUACGUAGGGCGCGAGCGUUGUCCGGAAUUAUUGGGCGUAAAGAGCUUGUAGGCGGUUUGUUGCGUCUGCUGUGAAAGACCGGGGCUUAACCCCGGUAUUGCAGUGGGUACGGGCAGACUAGAGUGCAGUAGGGGAGACUGGAAUUCCUGGUGUAGCGGUGAAAUGCGCAGAUAUCAGGAGGAANCACCGAUGGCGAAGGCAGGUCUUCUGGGCUGUAACUGACGCUGAGAAGCGAAAGCAUGGGGAGCGAACAGGAUUAGAUACCCUGGUAGUCCAUGCCGUAAACGUUGGGCACUANGUGUGGGGGACAUUCCACGUUUUCCGCGCCGUANCUAACGCAUUAAGUGCCCCCCCUGGGGAGUACGGCCGCCAAGGCUAAACUCAAAGGAAUUGACNGGGGCCC
rnacentral:rRNA from 1 species